ensembl:lncRNA
CCCCUCCCCCUUCCUCACACCCCCACCUCCACUACUAUUAAAUACCUUUGGAACAUCCCGAAUGGCUUUUAAAAAGAGCUGCAGAGGGUAACCGGUGGAUAUGGAGGAAACUAAGCAUGCCCAGAAGGGGGGGAUGUUGUGAAUCGCUGGGUGUCCAUGACCUGGCACUGCUCUAGCCCUCCAGCUCAUUGUUCUGCGCCCAAGAAAUCCUUUAUAAGGCCAUUAGGGUGUACAUUUUACCAAUCAAAUUGGAGUGUCUAGGACUAACAAAUGCUAGCAUUGGAUUUUAUUGCUGUUUGAGCCCUCCCGGUGCAAGCCUUAUGGACUACGUGGUCAAGCUGUAAGCCAUUACAUUGACAGGCAUGUGCACGUUUCUGCAUCUGGCCCUCUGCAGCUCGAACACAGCAAGCCAAUUACAUGUUGUUGUUCUUUUUGACAUAUAAUGUUUUUGGUAAUCAGAUAAUUGCUCAGCCCUUCAAACUCCACCGUCAGUGUUUCUCUCUCGCUCUCUUCCUGAAAUACGGUGCCAAAACGACUUCUUCAAAGACGCAAACGUUAAGAAGAAGGAUGUUUUUUUGUGUCUCGGUGUGCCGUAUUCAAGCAACAUGUCUUGCAGGACGGCGUUCGAGACGCUGAAGGACUAAAACGGGAAUUGAUGAGAGACGGAAAAACAACAAUUACUGGAAACCCUCGACGCAAAAUUCUUCGUGGCCUCACUUUUAAAAGUGAGCACACAUGGAGAGGUUUCCUGAAACAUGUACUCCACAACAGAAAUCUGCCAGUCUCUAAAUGCUUGCAUGUGGAACGGCCGCAGAGUAUGUAGAAUGUGUCAAAACUCUGAUGAAGGGAGGAGAUCUCCUGAUUGAGUCAUGUGGUUGCAUAUUAUCCCUCAAAUCAACCAGCACGCGCUCCGCACUCACAUCUGCACAUAGAACUCGCAUCAACUGGCCACCACAAGCUCGACCAUUUAGCCCGAAACGCUUCACAUCCUCUUAAAGGAUAUAAACGUUAUUGUUGGAAGACGUACAAAUGAAAUGGGAUCUAACGGUGAGGGUGAAACCGUGAUCUGCCUUUAACAUCACACCUUUCCUCCUGCUCAGAGUUCCUCUCCUAAACAUUAUGCAUUUAUGAAAAAACAUUCCUGAAACCUCAGGAAUCUGCCCUGCAGACAUCUGCAUAACACAGCAUGCAGUCAUGCCUCUGUGUGGAUGCAAAGGAUAUGCAGAAAUAACAUGUGGAAACGCAGAAUUGAAUGUGUAAUGGCAAUUUUAAUAAAGGAUCCCUCUAUAGUUCAUAUGCACAUAUUCUGCUUUAUUAAAGUCUGCUCAUCAGGAGCAAUUGCCAUCUGCACACAGAGCUACACAGUGGCGCGGAUAAUUGUUCUGCUAAUUGUCAUGUGGUGUCUGCUGCAUGCCAAGAGCAGACAGUGCCAUGUGGCCCUGUGUCUCGGGGGUUGUUUCUAGCUUUGAUAACUCGAUGGGAAGACGGGAGGACACUGGUCUCCCAGAAUUGAAUUAAACUUUAAAUACUGUUUGUGUUUUUGUCAUGGUUUCCUGUUUGUUAGGAGCGUUGUCUCUCGCACACACCUCCACUGCUCUGUCUCUCUCUCUAAGCACUCUCCCUCACACCCACCCACACACACACUGGGAAGAAAAACACUGUCUAUUUUAUGCUCUACAGAUGAAACGCAUUAGCAAAUGCAUGGCAAGGGACACUGAGGGAGGAGCAAAAAGGCGCUCCUCGGUUCCAACGACAUCAGCAUAUUUCCGCAAAUUUGCAAUUAGUCUUAAGGGCCGGUGUAAAUUAGGUCUCCUGACAAAUGAGCAAUCGGGACGGGACAUGAAGUUUCAAUAAAUCUGAGGGGCUGCUCGGGGCAUUGGUGUCCUCUUACUCCAGCAUCAAGAAAGAGUCCCAACAGACGGCAGGGGGAGAUCCAUGGAAUACGCCCAAAGAGAACUAACCACAGGGAUUCAUACGCCCCAAACUUCUGCCUCUCCCCUCUCAAAGCUACAAGACCGAGACCACUCCACAGGAAAGGAAAAGGAUUUCAUGGAGAUGUGAGACGGGGAUGGGUCUCGAAAGCCCCGAUAAGGAGACUCUAAUGUGGGUAAACUAGCACCGGUGCCUGUGUCUACACUCAUAACUUUGCGGAUCAGACCACUUUACGCUGAGACACUGAGAGUGAGAGUGCCGUGGUCCCAUUCAGGGGAGUCUAGAGUUGCGUCUCAUCAGUGUUUAAACAUAUUAGCGUGGGGCCUGCGCUGCUGCUGAUUCGAUCUGCUGCCUCGGAGGGAAGACGUAAAAUAUACGGUUUUACUUUUUAAAGACUGUGCAGUUCUCUCGCCAUGGUUCUUGAUGAUGAAUCAACUUACACAUUUGGCCAUUGCACAGGAGGCCCUCUGGACAAGCAGGACAGUUAAUGGAGUUGGCUGAGGAGGCUCGAGCAAAGGAUCAGGUUCAAACGGAUUCCUAGUUACAGUCCGUUUAAUCCAAUUGGGCAAAAUAACACGCCACAAUAAAGUGCUGCUUAAGGUCGAGAAAUGCGUUUAAACGGGAGGCAAACUGACGACAAAGCGAGGGAAUGUAGGACGGGACCGUGAAUAGCAUUAAAGGCCCAUUUGUCUGCAUUACCUGUAUGGACGGGAGUUGAGACUUCCACGGGAAGGAACAGCGAUGGGAGAGAACAAUAAUGCGGUUGCAGGAGGGACUGCCUACUAGGUUACACGCAGAUGAAGCCCAAGAUUGAAUUGGGACACUUGGAAAGUACGGAUGGAGACAUCUGCCUCAUGUUACAGCGUGAUGCGUACACCAUCACAUUAUGUGACCGUGUACUGGCUAUUAGAUCGGUUUCGUAGGGGUGGAGGAAGAGCGGCGGCCGGGGCCUCAAGCAUUGGGACUAUACAACAUUCUAGCGGUUUUGUGAUCUGAUACGCCGCUCGCAGGAGGAUGCCGCUCAAGUCAAGUCACCCUAUUGAAUCCACUUUAAUCCGGCUGCGUUCAAUUCAUUUUUUUUUUUUAAAUUUGCAUUGAGCUUGCUAUUGCUUUAUCUACAAACUAAACAGAAAAAUAAGAAAUCUUUCAUGGAGUCGUGGGCUCAGUCGCUAUCUGGCCAAGUGGCCUCGCUCGACUCCCUCUGCCUCUGUUUGCGAGUUGGCUUGGCGGGUUCAGCAUAGUGCACUACAUCCCAUCAGGUUCUGGGUUAUGGAAGCCAAUUACCCUCAACCAGAAGUGCCUGAAUCCACAAAAACAACAUACAUUACAACCUACAUUGCCAGGUGAUAUUUAAGCCAGGACAUGGUGAGGAGAUCCAGACAUCCUCGGCCAAAAAGAUGGAUAAAUACUGUAUUACCACAAUAAACUGUGAUAAUGUAGUAGGUUGUGAACAAAACGAAGCAACGCGGCAGGCAGGUGGUCAUAUGAGGCAAAACGUGGGGACAAUAAGUGGAAUCAAAGAAAAGCAUGUUCUUCCUCUCCAGAGACAAUUAUCUGCACUUCUUGGCUGCUGCUGCGCAGCCGGUUGUGUUGUGCAGACACUAUUGACACAAAGCAAAGCUGAUAAUUAAAUUACAUGUGUUGUGGCAGUCCUGAGAUACUCUGAAUCAUUAGCACAUGUAGGGGGAGGGAGGCGGGAGGCUGUGGUUUGAGGCGGCGUGCACGCUCAGAUUAACUUUGCAGGAUUCUACGUUUCUAUCAAGGACUGUGUUAUAAAGCCCACGACAAACAAAGCGGCAAUAACCGGGCCGGUGAGCCCAGAUUGGCCGACAUUGUUCCUGGACCUGGUGCCACACAUCACUUCCAGGUGGGAGAAACAAAUGGAGGGAAGGGAAAAGAUGGGAGUUUUCUAGUGUUGCGCGUAGACCCAUAACGACUAUAAAAAGCCUUUGACACGUCCCUUUGAUAAGCAUCGUGGAUACGCGCUUCGGGGGCAGUCUAUCCUAGUGGCAGCUGCACACAUGAGCGUGCACACGCAAAAGAUGUUUGAUGUGGAGAUGGAAAAUGCUUCUGGAGGGUAAAUGUCUUCAGUGGAUUUGUAUGAUGCCACAUCCUCCUAAUUUACAAAAGACAUUUAACUGCUACUAACGGCCCAUUUCUGCAGCACAUUAACCGGCAGCUCAGGGAUGAAAUCUCUCUCUCUCUCUCUCUCUCUCUGACUGCGGGCUCACCCGUCCAGUCACUGUCCUAAUUGAGUCAGCUCUUCUCUGCUGCUUGGACCUUAUCGUAUCACGCUUUAUAAUUGACCUGCGCUGCUUCAUAAGACAAUGCGCCAGGAGCUUGACAAAAGUUAUUAAUUUUCACUUUGUCCGAGGCUCCGUCCCAAUUAGGUCCCCUGGCUGGGGCCGACAGGGCGGCUAACGUGAUUUCAGGACAAGCUUAUUAGUCCGCAGCAGCUUCGAGGAGCGGGUGGAAGACCCUAAAUGAGAGCGCGCGGUGUAGUGGGCGAUUACUGGAAGGCAGCAGCACACGGGUGUGUUCUGUUCUGAUCCAACACAUACUCACCAUAUUGAAUUAUUUGAAAUGUGUCCUGUUGAUGAGAUAGACUCAUGCACAAUAUUUUAAGAAAAGAUCACAACAUGUUGUUUCUCGGUUUGGGAUGUGUAAAAUGAUUUCUUUUAUUUCAGCACAUUGCUGCAAACCCCGUUCCUCAGUCUGCCCAGUGCUUCCCGAAGGUAAGCAGCUGUGACUGAGCGAGGCUGCAUUAAGGCGUAGUCCCACAGUCUGAGGGUUGGUUAAGGAGAAACCAUGCGAGCCGGUGCUCAGUGAAAGUUCACCAGAUGCCAGGAGCAAUGGCAUCACGCCAGUCCUGACUGCCGGCCAAAUCAGUCCCAACUUGGGAAGUGCGUGGACAAGCUGAAAGGGAACCAAUCGGACCCAAUUAAGCAUAAUUGCACCAAGUCCAUCACGGUUUGGUCUGAAGCUUCUCCUUUUGUUUUCUCCACCGACGCAAACGCAAGGGACCAAAUGAAAACAGCAAUGGAAAAAAUACAGAACGAAAUGGCAAACUUUGCUGUUCGGGAUCUACGCGUCUAUUAGGCGCAAGGAGGAGGAAAAUCUUUUCGACAUCAGGGAUUUCAGCAAAUUUUGGUUCCUCAAGCGUCCUGAAAAGUAGCUGAUGCUACUUCCAAAGAAAAGUCACAAGAGCAGCAUGUAUUCUGAGCCCCCUUUCAAGUUUAGUUACAGUGCUGUCAUGUUCAAUCAAACGAGGCUCGAGAUGGGGGGAGGGAGGCGGGUGGAUUGUUGAAAAGCAGAAAAAAUAAAGGAAUAAAUCUUUCAGAUGGCGACUUCAAUAGCCCUGAGUGGAAAAUCACUAGCGCACAACCAUGCCCGUGGGGGCCGUUUUAAUGACAGCUCACCAAGAUUGGCUUCACCCACCGCGAUUAAGGUUACCCUUCAUGAUCAGAGGCAGCGCAAUACAAACAGUUAGUCCAGGGAAACAAGAGAGAGGUUUAACACAGAGACACCUGCCCACUCAGCAACUCCUGCUACACUCUUAACCGCGGGGGGGCCUCGCCGGUGGCUACCGGGCUAACAAGUCCAAAGUCCUGUGAAUGACAGGAGAGUGACAGCGUCCUGGCAAGCUACCUCUCUCUGAUCAGUAUUUCAUCUCGCAACUUGAGGCCUGAGAUGUUGCGUAGUUGUUGGGAGUCUUCGAUGGUGCUGAGACCACAAAACUAAGCACUUCAACACCAAGUCAAAGGCUUUCACCAACAAAGAAAGCGGCGCUUGCUGCGUUGCUCAAUGCGUUUAAACCUGAUGGUCAUAGCUCAUAUUUAUUUUAUUUUUAAGGAACUACAUAUAUUCAAAAUAAAAAAAAUUGUAUUAAAAAAAUGUUAAUUUAAAAAACAGCUACUACUGCACAGAGCCAGAAUUUACAAAUAUAACCCAUUUGUAAUUUGACUAAAGAUUCUGGGCCACAAACGCCCCGUCUGGCGCUCUGCCCUUUGCUCGUUCAUCAUCGGAGGUUUACUGGCAGCUCUCGGGGUAAAUAUUUCUCUUAUCAGAUUUUCCUGGCUAGCGUGCCUGGCAUAUAGAACAAUUUAUCAUAUCCACUUACAGCACGACAAAAUGAGGCGUGAUAAACAAGGCGAACCUUCAUUGGAUUAUUUUCAUCUUGUGGAAAAAAACCUGAGGGUUAAAAGAAAUGUCCUGUUCAGGGACGCAGCUGGGAAACCCGUUUCUCUGUUUAGUGUCCCGGCUCAAAAGAAAUACAAUGAGUGUGAAAUCGAAAGCACUGACACACGUGGCCGGGCCAUGCGUCUCUCUGAACGUGUUUCUCAUUCUCAGACAUGGGACAUGUCUUAGUGAAGUGUCUUCCCCCUAAAUGGUUAAUGUAAAUAUUUACCCGCACCGCUCUGUCACUUGGAGAAAAUGAGGAGACGAGGAUGAACAAUCAAUAAGCAGAAAAUGCAAAGUCCAAUUAUUUAAAAGUGUAAAUUAUAGAUUUGAUGCCAGGAACAUGAAGACUCUAUGGCUCUCUUGCUUAUACCCUCUCUCUCUCUCUCUCUCGAUCUCUCUAUCUCUCUCUCACUUUCGCAUGAACACAGAAGCAACCAAGAUGGAAAUAUGAAAUUCUAAUGUUUUGUGCCACAAGCUAUUUCAAGUGCAGUGCGACUACAUAGCGUACUAUACAUGUGAGAACGUAUUCAAAUUUGGACUCUACAGCAUUGGGGCGCACAUUCGGGAUGAAGGUUUAUGAAAAAUGCAUCUAUUAAUUCAUUAUUUCGAUUGAACCUGUAUUAUAAAACCCGACACUGAAACACAACAGUGGUUCUGUCCGCCUCAAGUUUCUAUUUCCAUAAUUUAAUUGAGGUCACAAAAGCAGCUUUGAAAAAAGUCAAAAGUUAUGGGGCAAAAGCUUUGCCAUAUGUUUGCAUUGACCUUUAAUUUUGUGAAAUAUGUGUUACACAAUCCUCAGCUUCCAUGGGUCAACCUCAAUGAUUAUUCACAGCGAAAAACUAGCAGCUGUUGACUCUGACAGCCACAUUCCUCUCUAGCCUCCUGCGUUUCAAUUUGUCUUACAGCAAAAAGCCCUUCCGCUUUUAAAUACCAAGCAGGGCUUUUUCCCACACAGGUCCUGCUGAGGUGAAGAAUCCCACUCCUGCCACCAUAACAGCAGAUACGCCAGGGUCUUCCGAGAGGUUAAAACAUUCUGCCGAUGUUGGAGGAGGAGAGAUGAAGGGAAAAGGCAGGGAGGAGGAGCGGGUCUGUCUGACAGUCAGAAAACAGUCCCUCACAGCGAUCGCUCCAGCCUCUGCUGCUGCUGCUGCUACAAAAAAAAAAAAACAGCACGCACUUGAAUUCCUAACAGCGAGUGCCAGGUGGUCACAAGAUGAAUUCAUCAGGGCAAUGCAUAACGCAAAAGGCAGAGAUUAUCACAUUGCAGCCGCCCUGGGGCCAUGGCAGCGCAAGCUGAUUGGAGACAUGGAAGGAGGCCCGAGAGAGGCGCUGGUCUUCCCUCUGGCCAGCGGAGAGGUGUCGGUCCACUCCUGGGAGAGAUGGAGGAGUAAGGGAGGGAGGGGGUGGGUGGUUCAGAGUGAUGGUUCACCUCGCUACAGGCGGCUCUCCCAUUGGGGCAGGAGCAGGCUAGGAGAGGCCUGAAGGCCACACACACACACACACACACACACAGUAUCAUCCGGCUUUUCUCCCAGAUCCUUGGCAAGAUUUUUUCUAGUCAUGGGACUUGCAGUCCCAAAAAGAUAAGGGUUAAUAUCAAACAAGAGUGCUAGUGUGCUUUGCCACUGUAACCCUGCAUUGUUAAAUAGUUCUGUCUGGGUAACUAUACUGGUAACUGAGUGAGUGUGUGUGUGUGUGUGUGUUUGUCAAAGGUCAUGGAAAUCAAGAAUCCUCAACACUGUCCAACAGCACAACGUGAAAACAGAUACUACUGUCAUUCAAGAGCUCAUCAAAAUAGCCAUAUGGGAGAUCCGUAAAAUGUAAAAAGGCAUCAACACUACGCGAGGGUGAGAGUAAUAUAUUCACUUAUCUGCCGAGAAGAAGCUUAAUGUGUCAGAAAGUCAAACUGUUUCACAUUCGUACCAACUGUUGUACAUGAUAUUCCAUGGUGUUGUGAGGCUCAUCACGCCAGUCAUUUCACAUUAUCAUUACGGGAUUUGUAUCACGCCAUCUUAAGAUUUGUUUCAGCAAACUCCAAAAGAGCAACUUAGAUCGGCAACAUAGAACCUUUUCCAAACGGCACAGUAAAAGCAUACAUGCUAAUAACAUUAAUUUCCAUGUAAAAGCAAAAUGACAAUGUCAGAAAAAUAUAUGGAACAAAAAGCAUUUGGCCACCUGUGUCUUUCAUAUUAAUGUAAUCCCAUCUUUAGCCUAAAUAUGUGAUUUGGUGAGAUGAAAAAAGAGCACUGCAUUAUGAAUGUAGAGAUAAUUUUAAAUAUCACAUCACAUUUACACAUCAGUCUUCUACCAUGUCUCCUCUAUAUGGAGAAAUCCGUCAAUUACAAUAUGCACAUUUUAUACUAUAAGCAAAUGAGUUUUUACGUGGAUACAGACAAUGAUGAGUCUAACUGUCAGUCAAGUUAAAAUAAGCUGGUGUCGUACAUGGUUUUGGCUGUUAUAGUAGCAAUAGAGAAACAGCGUUAUGUCAUUAAAGAAAAGAAAAAAGAAAACAUCUGUCAUCAUCUGACCAGUCCGACCAUGAUUUCCCUUUGACAUUGCCAUAAAUAUUACAUACUAUGUCACAAAAUGCCUAAGAUCAGAUGUGCCACACAUCAGGGCCUUUAUGUUAUCGUCAUAACAUAAAAUAGAAAAAAUAUUGUGACAGAUUUCGAAAAUAAAAAACAGACUUCAUGUCAAGGCUUUUAUAGCACAGCAUCAGGCCAAUACGAAAAAAAAAAAAAACUUUGAUCAUUGGGUACCAUAACUAAAGUGUUGCAAAGCGAAAUAUUAUGAAAUUAGAAAAGGUUACGUUAACUAAAGACGUGCAGUAAGGACUUUGUAUAGUGUGUUUACAAAAAAGGCUCAGGCUCCAAUGUAGAAUAGGCUACUUGUUAUUAUUUAGUUUUCAUGUUGUGACUGAUAAUCUGAGGUAUUCAAAUCCCAUAAUGUUUAUACUUUACACUUUUACAGUGCAUAAUAGUAACAAAUACAAGAAAUGUGUGAUGUUUGGCUGUUAAACAUAUUCAUUUUCAUGAAGAACAGAGCAGAUCAUUUAACAAGCUCCUUCUGGAUGGAUGGAAGAAGUUAAAAGCUAAAAGAAAAAAGCAAAUGGCCUGAGGGACUGACCUUUUUAAAUCAACAAUCAAAUCCACCAGUUGUUUGUGUGUCCCUGACACUUCCACCCCGUGUUGUUCACUUUUCUGUCCGGGCCUCUUUCUCUUUUCUUAUUCUACAUAAAUUAUUGACUGGCUAAUUUGGUCUGCUGGCCCUGUGAGACGCUGCAGCGUCGGCAUGACAGCUUUAUCUAUUAGACUGAGCCCAAUGACAGCCUCGCUCCGGCUGUGUGUUCAUGCGCGUUUGUGUGUGUGUGUGUGUGUGUGUGUGUUUGCCUGUGUGUCAUGUGCCUGUGUGUCAGUGUUGCCAGUGGGGUGCAGGAGGGGGAGAGGGGGGCGCUGGGGGGUCAGGCUCAUUCUCAGUUGCAUUAGCACAGGAGCAGGACUGGGACACAUCAACAUCUUAAUCAAUAUGCGAGAGUCAAUUACUGAGGAAGCGCGUGCUUAAGCAAGAUCUGAUUAUUGGGUUCAUGUUCAGUCCACCAAAUGGACCGAAUCAAUGCGAUGCGAUAUGUGCUAUAUAACCCCCCCCCCCAACCCAACUACCACCACACACACACACACACUCUCUCUCUGUGUCAUCCCACCUCCUGUCUCCACCCCCCCCCAUCCCCGCUGUCCCCCACCCUAUCACAUUCCUCACGGACACUUGAGGAAAGGAAAGGGAGGCCGAUCAAAGUGACAAAGAGGAAGGAUUUAUGCUCUGCUGCGGCGUCUAACAGGACUGCACCAAACUUGUCCAGAAAGCACAAGUGCGUUGGAGAUGAAAAGGCUGGCGGAGCAUCAAACCCUCAACGACCCUUUAAAUAAGUCAUAUUUAUGAAGAUAGAAGUGGGUAAAAAAAAAAAAUACUCCGCUGUGAGUAUCAUCAACCCCUCGGUACUAAACCAAAGCACACUUGAUGGCCAACGUGAGUUUCAACACGCACAAGCCGGCUCUGCCCGUGAACUCGCCGCACACUUAAUUGCUCCUUUUUUUUGUAUAUUUGUCUUUUGAACGCCUGCUUAUUUGUAGCCGAGUAGUUCCUGUGGCCUUUCAUCAUGUCAUUUCAGCGCUUUGUCACGAUAUCUGUCACUCUGCACCCCCCUUCAACCACACCAGUUCAAUGGCGGGUGAAACACUAGUACGCAGAGAUCCGCCUUUCACUGUAGUAUUUCCAAGGGCUUUGUCUUUGUGUCUUGGAUAUCGGUGGGUGCGUUUCUUUUCUCUCUCUCUCUCUAACAUUUGCCUGUCAUAUUUGCUUUUGCCGAGGAUUCCGUUUGGUGUGCUGCUCCUGUCCGUAGCCCGUCAACCUAUCGAGACGGAUCACGCCGCGGGUUUGCCGCGCUUCCUCCUCCAUGACAACCUUGCCCCACCUCGCCGCCGGACCGCCUCUUUAUUUACCCCGCUGAAAAAUUGCACCUGCAACACCGAGGACACAACAAAGAAAAGAGGGAGGAAGAGAUGAGAGCGAUGAGAAGCUGGGUGGUAGCGAGAGGACCAACAAGGCAAGAAAUCAAUAGCCCACAGAUUUUUAACUAAGGUUUUUUUUUUUCCCUCUCUCACUCUGUCUUUUUUUAUCUCGUAAGCUGCCAAACAUCACCAGUGAAACUUGCACGAGGCAGUCGUUGCCAGAGGGUGAAUCAUAGCAAUAUUGAUUUGAUUAUGUAAAAGCUCGGUGGAACCUCAAGCCAGAUGCAGAAAUAACUCCUCACCUAGGUCCUGUGGGAGAGUACACACUCUGCUUUGGAGGGAAAAGAGAGAGACAAGAGUUGAGAAUGAGAAAAGGAAAAAUAUAUAUUGUCGAGGAUAAAAGCGUAAUUACUGCCCUCGUAGCUCAAAUACAUUUCUAACUUUCCAAAUUGCUCUGCCUUUUGUGGCCCCCUGUCUCCUGUUCUGGCGUCUUGCUGAAUGAUAAUUAAAACUGCUCUACUGUACUGCAUUAGGAGCUGACAGUUAUGAACUCUGCAGAAGAAUAGGCAGCGUGCUACCAUAGCUGAUCCGAUUUGAGUGAGAGUGUGUGUGUGUGUGUGUGUGUGUUUGUGUGAGCGCUUCCAGACAGCACCACGGCUGACAGUAAAGAAGGCGAAAAAGAAAAGGCAGCGCGUCCUUGGAUUCUGAUCUAUGGCACCCUCUUCUGGACCCUGGAUCUCUGACUUCCCUCUCCACAGAGAAGACAGCUAAACGGAAUGACCUGCGGUACUUUUCUGAUACUUUAUGAAGAAAUAAGUUCAAUACACAUGGGGAGACGGUCUAAAAUUAUUUUUCAGACCCAACGCAAACACGGUGUGCGGCGUGGUCUUUCAAUUAACAACCCACCAUUAUUUUGUCAAAACAAUGCGGUUAUUAAAAAAUAACCUUCUGCACACAAAACUUCUAACAUUAAAAUAGAGUUGUGAAGGGCUGCGAAGGAUUAAGAAACUCCCAUACAGGAUUUGGAGACUAAUUGCUGGCGUUCAUGAAGCCAGGUUAGACUGAAAACGCUCCUGGGCAGGCACUAAUUGGGCCACCUAUUUUUUUUUUUUUUUUUUACACAGCAGUGGGAGCCACUGAUCCAGCGGUUCGUCUAUAACUGCCGUAAAUUAUGAUUCCUGGAAUCAUAAUUUCCUGGACUGGAACAUUGUGGUCAGCUCUUAUAAUUGGCCUGGGCUGGUAUCUCAUGUAAAAUACUAAUCAGAUCACAUGAGUGGUGGGAGUGUCUUCAAAGGGAGAUUGGGUUUCACAGAAUCUAUUUGAGCGUGUGAUUAGGUGGGUACGAAACGGGCCAGAAUAACAGAUCUCAUUAGACUGGACUGAAUGGCCAAUGCCCGCUUUUUAUUUUCCCCUUUCCCUUCCUGAGCAUCUUACUCUCGACUUCCUGUGAAUUAAAAAAAAAGGAAGAAAGUUUCUGUUUUUGUUGGUACUUUAAUGCAAAGCAGGAAGGUCAGAAAUGCUCUCUGAGGGCUCGUACGGUACGAGAAGAAAACGGGCCGCAGACACUGAAGAGCUGCGGCGUCGCCACUUUAACAUUUAAUGGUUGCUUCACAAUCUUUUAAAAGGACAGAUCAUAUCAGACUUUUUUAUGAGUUUAUGUUUAAUAAAAAAAUCAUUUUUGGAGUCAUGGAAAUGACUUGUUUUCUGAGGUCAAAGUGAAUCAAGUGAAGGUUUCAUUUAUUUUGAGUUUGAAUUACUGUAAACAAUUCAAGCAAAAGGGGCCUCUCUAUUCUAAAAACACCUAAAUAUAACAUGAUUUCUAGUUUUAAGAGAAAAUUGGAAAAGCCAUUAAUUUAAAGUGAGUUUGUCACCAGUUGAGUUCCUCCCUCAUCCCGGAUGAUUAGGUAUUAAUGUGAUUUAGUGUGAAGCAAUGCAUGGUUUCAUACCUAACUGGUAUUGACUGGUUUAAGGGUAAACAUCAAUUUCAGAUGCACAUAAUCAUAUUACCAACCUAAUCAGCAUUGACUUUUACUCGGAUCAAGAAAACAGAAAAAAGGCUUGCAUGCAAAUACCAUAAAAAUCAUUUGAACCAUGAGAAACAAUGUAGAGAGGGAAUCUGAAGGACAGAUUGCACUUGAGGUUUGAGAGUCUUUUUUUUUUGUUCAAGCUGAAAAUAAUUCCCAGACUCUAAUUUAUCUAUUACUGUAUUAAGGUAACUUUGGCUAGAAAGAAAUCCGCGACUCUCUCGCUAUUGCACGAUAACAAACUGGCGGCUCUUAAUUAAGGAGCGUUUCAGUGAGAAGCCCUCGCUCUGGUAAGCCCCCUCUCCAGAAUCAGGAUAAUUCCCAUUCAUUUGGAGGAUCUCUUAAUGAUCACUCCCACACCGGACCCAACCUCCAAAUAAUACCGUGCCUCAAUCAGCAUAUUCCACAAUCUAUUCAAAAUGGAUUUCCUUUGCUGCUGAUUACUUUAAUAACUUCAACGUAUCUAUUAGCAAAUGGGAAUGUGAAUCUUUGUGAUGAUUAUCGUUUAGCUAUGAAAAGGGAGGGGUGUAAUUGAAUUAGAAUCCAAUAUUGCUUUGCUCAAUUAUGGUCCAUGUUCCUUUUUAUUAUCUUAAUUGUUGUUUUAAUAUAGUCAGAAAAUGGGGGGGAAUCACUUACAGAUUACAAUGUCAGAUUAUGUUGUUUUCCUGCUUUGCCAAAAAAUGUGAACCAAUCUCUAAUUACAUCAAUGGUGCUUUACGGGGGCUCGCACGCCGCAGUGUGUUCUAAUGACCACAGGACAGAGACGUAUUUUACAAGAAACUUUGGAAGAAGAAAUGUCUGAUUUGAUCUGUCCCAUCCCCUCAGAUUGGUUACAAGCACUGAACACCUGACAUAUCAGCACAUAUAUAAAAAUAGGGUUCAUAGUGUUCAAAUUUACCGUUUUAGAAUCCCGAGUUGAUGCUGAAUAUGAUUAUUGUGGGCGUAACAAUUCAAUGCAAAGCUUUAGAGAACGUGCAUAUAUUGAUGACACAACGCCAACCUUCAGAAGACCUCAAGUCAUCAACAAAAGUAAAUCAGAAUUCAAUUCAAAUUAAAGGUAAGGAUGCUGAAAAUCAUGAGGCAUGCCGUCUCCAUGAUCUGCAUACUUCAUGAUGUCAUACUAUAUGGCAGGAGGCAACAUUCACCAACGGCUCAACGGAAGGAUCAAUCAUUCAAACCAUGAUAUGGUUUUCUGCUCAAAUAUGACAAUGCCUCAAGCCGUUGUUCAUGUCUGAACAUUUAGUGCUGAAAAGGAAAUUAUUUGGGCAAAGAUAUGAUCAUUGCUUCACAUUCGCCAAAUUCCUAGAAAAGGAGCGAGGACCUCAACAUUAUUGCAUAGAGCCCACCACAUACAAAAGACAGUAGCUGCAUUCGUCAUUUCUUUUGACAGAAGCAACUGGAGUGUGUCAUGAAGUGUGCAUUUGUCACGCCACGCGGUGAUUCGUCAGGAGGGCAUCAUUCAUAGUUCAUAAUGCUCGCCCUCUGUCUGCCUAUCCAGCAACGUUAAUGUUGUUUAAAUGCCCAAUGGAGCUGCACUACACCAGAUAGCAUCCAUCUCCACCAAUCAGUCAAUCAGUACCUGGGCGAGCCCCAGAGAGCUUCUGGAUUAGGUCAGUUAGGAUGCUCUCUGCUACGGUUAGCGGAUUAAGCCCCUCUCUCCAAAGGCUCCAUAGAGGGAAAGCCACACAAGAAAGGUAGCGUAGCUGAAAAGCAGCAUUCCCUCUGUGAUGUUUUGGUGGCUUGUGGUCUCCAAUGUGUUCUUAAUUCCUAGGACAGAUGUAAUUGUUGUACAGUCGGCUGACUUUGGUCUGGUCCUGUCUGGAGCAAGUCUGUGUUUUGUUACGUUUCUUCACAGAAAAUAUGGGAGAAACAAAUUGGAUUUAAAUAUGUACCAGUGCCGCUCUUAGACGAAAUAUUCCUGUAUAACCCUUGAACCCAAACUGUUAUAAUUCCUGAGAUCUUUAGCAUAUCAACUCACAAGUUGCCCUGUCUGCUUUACUUAACCGUUGAAUAAACAAUUCUACUCACAAAGCCACUUGGCUUUCUUUCAAGGGUCAAUUUGCACCGAUUAGGAGUAUAGCGUUUUCAAGAAACCUUAUUGUCAGCUGCUCUACUCAUGAUACGCUUUGUGGGGAAUCCCGGGAGUAGCGGGUUUGUAGAUAGGACUCAUAAUGCUUUUGGGGAAACUCAGAGGUUCAUUGAAGGUGCACAGGCUUUUUCCCCUGAUGCAAAAAAUGCAGAAAUUAAAAACACUGCAAGGAAAAACAAGCAAACGCUGCAAUUAAAGCCCAAUUCUCCUCAUAUAAAACAAAAUAAAAAGCACUGUACAAAUGGCAAUAAAAUGCAGAUAAUGACCUCAGGAUGCCAAAGCAAUAUUUUUUUCUCCCCCCCUUUUAAUUGCAGUUGUAUUCGCCCUCACCGUUUCAUGUUACGGGGUCGGCCUUUUUAAACUUUUCACAGCUGCGUGGAAGAGAAGGGGACAGCAUCCCGGGGCGCCUGCAGACCCCGGUGAGCGGAGUCGCUGUGCCAAGCUCCCAGGACUUGGAUUCAUUAGCCGCUUUAGCAGCGCAAACAUUGCCUUAAAUGGUGAGGCCAUGCGCUGGCAAGGACCCACUCUCGCCUUGUUUCAAUUACAGGGAAUCAAACAUUGCAGGUAUGCUGGGCGCAGGGUCUUUGUUGAAAGAGGGAAAGGGAGGGAGAAAGUGUUUUACAAAGCCCAUGCCCUCCUUCGCCUGUGAAAAAGCGGCCUGGUUUUAUUUGAAGACCAUCGUACAGCAAAAGAAAGUGGUAGUUUGGCAAAGAGUUGAGUUUUCAGGAACAAUGUGAUUACAUUUUUUUUUUUUUUCCUUUUACAAAGCUUUGCUAACUAUUACAUGCACAGUUUUAUGGUGAGGUCGCCUUGAUUUUACAUGACUUGUCAGCCCCGUUAAAAUGUCUGGAAAGAUUAGGGUUGGAUUAUACGUGUCACUCGCCACAUGCAUGUGUUCCAUUAUGAAUCUCGGACCGAUGGUGAAAAUGCAGAGCAGCAUUCUCCGCUCAUACUCUUUGCAUUGUACUUGGGACUCCUGGAGUGCCCACGGCUUGUGCCAAGUUAGAGCCUUGAAACUAUUUUUAUUUUUUUCCCCCCAACAUCACUAAACAGCUCUGAUGUAAUAGGAGUCUUUACAGGUAAUGAGGUCACUGCAUUGGAACGAGAUCAUGCAUUCUUGUAAUGUGACCCAAAUGGAGGGAAUUAGAAGAAGUCGGCACACUGAAAAACAAGAAAACUCCAGAGGGUUAGGUGCCAAGCUGAGGUGUUCAGAGACGUAAAAAUGGCAGCCAGGUUUAUGAUAAGGUCGUGAGUCCACCGCAGCACACGCAGUUAGAAUAUUAUGUGUUUGCACAGCCAAUCCAGCGUAACAAUCUGCAAAACAAAGCACUCUCUCCUAAACGAGGAGAGGUAAUAUGCCCUAAAAAGAAAGAAGAAAGGAAAGUAUAGGUAGUAUGUGUUAUACAUUAACUUUGUGUCUUUGGAGGAAGCUGCUCCAGGAUCAAGUCAAGAAGACGCCCUACUGCUCAAGCAUUACUCUCAAUCUCACUCGUAAUACAAAGUCCCAAAUAAGACCAAAGGCGACAGAUAAUUCUUGUUCUUUUACAAACUGUAGCUUAAAGGCAUUGCCACGUGCCGAUGGAUAAAACACAUUCAAUUCCAACCUGGUAUCCCUCUCAAACUAAUAGACAGGACAUAAAUAAAAGGUGUAAAAGAGGACUGCGAACGUUGAACAAGAUUUUAGGUUAAAACAUUGAAAUUGUUGUGAACCUCGGAGUCGCUGUAACGAAAUGUCACAAAGGUUUUAAACUACUCUGUUAUUAGAAGCAAGCGGUGCGUUAAAACCGGCAUUGGCAGCUAUUUGUUUGGGGAAGUGAGUGUAAAAACUAAAUAAUCAUUGACUUUAAGCAUUCCAACAUCUGAUUGGGUAAUUCUUAACACGCACACUGUGCUGUCAUUGACAUUUAUUUUGAAUUUUAAAACUGUAGCUGUUCCGAAAAUACUCUAAAACCUCUUUUUUUUACCACUACGUGAAAGAAACUGUAACAAGACACAUACAUCUGCUGCUUUUAUGUCACAUCAGUGUUUAAACGAAAGGAAAAUCUCAAAUUAGAUCUGGCAGCAGUGCUGGAAAUCCACAUUUGUGAUUUCCCGUAUUGCAGACGAAUUCUGCACGACAUUAUAUUCAAACAUGUUCAUUUUACGUGACCAAAGUACCGCUAUGUCCCCGUUCUAAAAGUUUAUAGAUUGUCUUGUCAGCUUUUUAGCAACAUCACUUAUACCUCACCGUGCCAUACAAAAUCAAUACAAUAUUCUUCUUCCAAUAAAUAAUGUAGGCCAGAAAAAGGUCCAAAUGCACGCAUCGACAGUCGGCUGCAAUUAGGGGGCGGCGGCGGCGGUAACUGAUGACAGUCCCUCCCUCCCUCCGGCUCACACGAGAUCAGCAGAAAAUGAAGACGCGGAGACCACUUUGUCACCGGCGGAGGGUGGACCUGGAAACGACUCCUAAUGGAAAAAGGGCUCCCUGAGCCGCCGCUGCAUCUGCUGCUACAAGCACUUUCUACAGGCCGAUGGGCCGGCCCCAACCGGUUUCCAGCUCCCUUUAUCUAAGCCUUUAAUAUUCUCUGGGCAGCCAGCAGCGACCGCAAGCUGAGGUCAGGAGGCAAUGGUGCGUGUGUGUGUGUGUGUGUGUGUGUGACAGAGUGGUAGACAGCAGGAAAUACUGUUGAUACGAGACGGUUGGAUUAAGGGAAAUUAUUAAAAAGCAUACUGUUGUAAUGUCAAGACGAAACAACAGAAAUGCAAAAAGAGAAGCACAAAGCUGGGUGAAUUUAAAAGGAACGCGAUUGGACGCCUGGCCGCGCGACGUCCGUGUGGCUGCGAGGCUUAUAAACACCCGAAAAAUACUUUUUCCGUUCAACUAAACGGCAACAAAAAAAGUUUGGUAUGUCUCUGCCAGAAAAACAACCGUGUUGUGUAACUCAAAGAGUUUCAUCCUCAUGCAGGUUCAUUCAUUUAUUAAAGCAAUCAAUGCUUUAAAACACUUCAUGUUGCUUAGUCUUACUUACUCAAGGACACAUCGACAUGGAGGAGGACCCGCUCGACCGCUGAGCCACAAAAAGUGUGUAGCUCUACUGUAGAACACGGCAGUGGUACCACAGUAAACAUUGUUAAAAUGAGUUGCUGGUCUCAAUUGCCAGCUGCAAGUAGUAGUCAAUACGCCAUGAUUUAUUUUUACUAAAUUGUGCUUCCAUUUAUAGUAAAAAAAACUAAAAGGCAAUAAGCCCGAGCUGAUUGACAAGUUGCUACCACGCCAUUGGGUGAUUUUGUCUUCAAGCUUCAACUCUUUCACAGUGUGCUGUCUGCCCAUUAAAGUCAAUAAUAACCGCUUUGGUCACCAAAAAGAGACCUCCGCACUCCUCCGCACUCCACAGCCAAGCUGUGAGAGAAUACGCGGCGUACUUGUAGCAGCGCACACGCUGCAUCCUGGGACUAACUUUGUGAACGGGCUGAUCUGAGGGGGGGGACACGGAUCGUGUCACUGUGCCCGUACUGCAGGUGUCUCCCAGUGAUGGAGAGGGCACUGGGAAACAUUUAUAUCUCAAAUCCACUUUAUCGACCGUGCAACCCUGUCGGAGUGGAGCUAGCAGCGGUGGUCGGGGGAGAACAAGUGGCUCUUAGCACACAUGCUGACACUGAAGGAGCCUCCAGCACUCGCUCUUUAGCUGCGAGUCUGGAACCUCUUUAUGGUGAUUGUUUUAUCAGCGUUCCUGUCCGUCCCCCGGGAGGCCGGGGCCCAGGGAGGAUGACCCUCAUUUUCUGAAAGCAAAGUGUUCAGUAUUGAUCAGUAGGAAUGAGCCGCCCGUGACAUGGGUUAAUUUACUGGACCCAGGAAGGUCCAUUGUUUCCUGUCAUUCCUGAACUCAUCGCACUGACCUUUACCGUCCCGUCCUGCCAGGCGCAGUGUGCGUGUGCAGACACGCACACGUACACACACGACUUCAUUGCUUAAUGCCUCACGGCAGAAAGAGGAAAAAGUGAGACGGACACAUUGACAUACAAGUAGACGGAUAAAAACAAACAAAAGUUUUGUGUUUGUUUUUUUAUAUAAGAAAAGGAAUUCUGCCUCUCCCUGAGCUGAAAGUGACACAGAAUGAAGUGUGAGAAAUAGACAGGUCUCAAAUCAGACAUCUGAAACCACCACAGAUCAAAGGCCCCAUGUUAUGAAAUGUAUUCCAUAGAUUAUUCCCUCAAUAUGUAAUCUCCCAUUCAAUCCGCGAUGAACUGAAGAGGGCUCAAUACCUGAGCACCUUAAAGACAAUAUAUAAUCGAUACUCAACCCACAACCUGUUCACGGAGUAUUGAGAAUGACAAAGGUCAAAGGUGAAUGUCUAUGGGUGAAAAGGCCAGUUGGGUUACAUCAAAAGGUCAACGCCUUAAUGUGAUGCUCAAUUGUAAACCUUAUUAGGGGCAUGGCCUAACAAACAGGCCGCAAAGUGUGUGGGAACAUCACUUUGGAUUAUCCAAACUGAACAUAAAUAAGGGAACAAAAGAGGAAAGAACUUUUGAUAAAAGCCCCAGAACAGAAAACAGUAAAACAGACAUUUUUUAAAUUUAUACAUUUAGUGUUCUUGCCACUUUAAAUUAUGUUUUUUAACAAUGUACUCAUAAUCAUGAGGAAAAUACUGUUAGUUACAAAUACAUGUACUCCACAUCUCAAAAGAUGGUUUUCUAUUGAAUAUAUAAAUUGUUUUUCGCCGCAUAUUUAUAAUACAUUUUUAAUUAUAACGGACCUUUCAUCAAGUGCCAAAACAUAGUUAAAACAUACUUAAAAUGAAGUAAAAGCUAGUAAAAACAAGCUGAAUAAAAAAGGUUUUUAGGCCAGAGCGCAGUGAAUGUGCUGCCCUAAGGUGGUCAGGGAGAAAAGGUCAGUAGGCCAAACAUCUUUGAAUAAAUAAACCAACUGAUGAAAAUACUUAAAUACAACCCUAGCCGAGUUUGUUCUUCAGCACUGUAUCAUUCUCAUUCUACUGAAAUUAAAUCACAUAUGAAACGAGGAGGCAGUAGACAAAAUCAAAAUAAAGACAAAAUAGUAAAACUGAACUGAGGAUAAUAAUUCCUAAACGCAAAGCAGCCAAACAUACAAACAGCCUCAGCACAAAAGGCAACACUCAAGAGGGGGUGUCUCUGGACGCAAAAUUCCAAGCGUGCAUUUGCCACGUUCGGUUAACGCGGCGGUUAGCUUUAUUUAUUUUGCCCAUUUCCUGCAGGAUUCGCCGAGCUCAGGAUGCAGAUGGGGAGGUAAUAAAUCCGUGAGGUGUCAUCUCGCUCCCCUCCCCUUUGCCUGGCAUCUGCGAGCGCUGUGCCACUUCUGAUUAGUGCCGCCUUUCCCUCCCAGAAAGCCAGCAGACAGGAACAAACUGAUUACUGCCCAUCUUCGGGGGAUUGGAGACACCUAACAGGAGGAUUACAUUAACAUAUUAACGGACGCCCCUCACCUGCAGACCUCCUAAUAUCACUUCCGCGCGCCUCUUAUUUUUUUCGGGGAGGGAGUGUGGUGUAUUUCAUCUUCACAUGGAGUGCGAAUAAAUAAAGAAAGAGAGCGAUUCCCUCCCUCUCCCGGGGUGCGCUAUCUGUCAUUGAUGAUAGGUGAAGAGGAGAGGGGUGCCUUUGAAGUUUUUCCGACAUAAAAAGGCGCAAAUAAACGCAAACACAUCCUUUCAGCUACUCACAUGAAAUUAGGACCUGCUGAAGACGGGGGAAGCAAGCUGGCCUCCGCAGCCACACCUAAUCACUCUGACGGCAGCAAAGACUCCGUCUCUGCUCUACUGGGAACAUCGGAAUUAAGCAUGAGGAGAAAAAAAAGUUAGGGGAGAGAAAAAAAAUAAAAAAGUGCUUUAAUCUGCCUCAGCUACUUUUCCACCUUUUUAAACAAUGCUGUGCUGAAGCAAAACAACAAACAACAGAAGAAGAAAAAGUUUCGCCGCCCUCUGAAAUAAAUAUGAGGGAACUUUGAGUUGGUUGACAGGAGGGUGGAUGAAGUCGACUCCGGCUGUGAUAUCUUCAAUCUUUUCAUAUCUCCACCGCAGAAAACCCAUAGCAUGAUCUUAUGAAUCAAUUACAAGGCCGGACGGGAUGGUCCCUCCUAUGAACCACCUCAGAGUACCGAGUAACAGCACAGGCCCUGGUAGUUAUCGGAGCUGUAAGUGUGAGGAGGGCCCCUUUCCACAUUAUUAUUUGAAGCACUGCUCCCGACAAAAUGAGCUAACUGCCAAAAGAGAUAAAGGGGAUUUAGAGAUUCAAAAGAAUGGAGUUAAAAAAUUAAUGGUGGAAAGGAUUUGACUUCAUGUUUCUACAACUUGUAAGCAGGACGGAGUCGGUGAGACAAAUUGCUUUUAAGAAUAGAGUGAUGGUGAAAGGGAAUAAAAACAAGCAGUGAAUAUUUAAUAGGCGCCGCAGCCUCUUCGCAAACAAAUCAAUAAGGUGAUAGUAAACAUAAGGAGGCUCACCCUGUGGCAUGCAGCCCAGGAAAGGAGGGAGGACAGGUGUCAGCCGGCCCAGCCACAUAGUUUGGGUCUAUCUUGACAUUUCUGAAGGUUAAAAGACUGUAACUGUCUAUCUGUGUCAAUCACUCUGCUCAAAAAGGUCACAGCCAGUCUAUUUUUCAUUAAUUAUACCCUCAGAUAUCUUCAGAAUGCACAGACACCUAACAAUCGCAGCUCCCUAAACAACGACCACCGAAAGGUUGUAAGAGAGGAAUACAUACAUAAAUUGAUCAUUAGAAUUCGGGCUGAUGAUUUCUCCAAUUUGAAGGGACAGCAAUCACCUCUUCUACUCUAUCUAGAUUAUAAAGCAUCAGUACUUAAAAGGAGUACUUCAGAAUGCCUUAUGUUACCGAAUCAUAGCAUUCUGUGACUUCCUGUGUGAUUAGAAAAGGAUUUUUCAACUGUUGUUUCGUGGUCAAUUGGCCUGAAAGUCACCUGCAGUUAAUAAGUAAAUGAGUAACGUCAGAUACUUCUUUUGUAAAGAAGUCUUGUCAUUACUUUCUGACAUUAAAGUAUUAGUCGAACCUUAACCAACAAUAUUGUGCUUUGCUAACUAUUUUUUUAGCCUAUUUUCUUACUGGUUACAUGGAACUCAGACUAAAGACUGGUUUGACUGACUAGUAAUCAAACUAACUAACUAACCAACCAAUUCAGUAAUUCAGACUUCUGUUUUACUCAUCGUGGGCGGGUCUUGUGAAGCAGGAUCUCACAGUUUGCUUGUCCAUUACUCCGCCCGUCACCUUUGACCCCCUCUGGAGCGCUAAAUGCUUUUCUUGUCUCGCCAUGCGAAACAAGGCUGAAAUAACGCUUCUCUUCCGCUCAAGUGGCACGUAAGAGAACGGCACACAAAAGCGAAGCGAAACAAUGGCGUGUGCACUCAAAGCCCCUCUCAGAGCGCUCCCAGAGCAGGAUGCUCCGCUGCUGUGACCGAGCCCUGAAGUGAGCGCCGGACUCUUCUGAGGCAUGAAAUAAUAAUAACAUCGCACUUCCGUCUCCCUGCCAGAGAGGAGGGGAGGAGAGCAUGUGAGCGCCUGCUAUUGUCACCGCUCACUAGAGAGACACCAGUAUCCCCGAGACUUUAAUGGGAAAGACAAUAGGGCCGGGCCUAAAAAGGCAUCGCAUUAAAAUUUAAUCAGGGACUUUUGUCUCUCGCUACAUGCGACGAUGUGUGUGUGUGUGUGUGUUAGUGUAAAUGACUACAGGGACAGGUAACAGCACUCAUAGCCCAUCUUCAUCCCCUCCCGUCUUGUUUGUUCAUCCCUUUCUUGUACCUUGGGAGAGUUCUUUCAUUUCCUCCCAGGUGUGUCACGAUCGCCCUUUAACCACCCAACCACAUGGCAACUGCUCAAAAAAAAAAAGAAGAAGAAAUGUUAAGGGCAAAUUGGAUUAACACCACGGUCUAUGGUCCGGGCACUUAACAAACACAGAUGCACUUAAGGGAGCCCACAGAAUGAUUUGUGACUGAACAAAGAACUGGGGAGAUGGAGCCUGGGCAUGACCACAGGACCGGUGUAAUAUGUCAUCUACCGGAAGAGCUAUCGGCUCAGCCUACUGGAAAAGGAGUAAACUCCCAAGUGCUGAAGGUAAAUUAUAUAGUGUCGAGUGCUUCUCUUCUACUUUUGUAGUGGAGACAAACAGGUUUUUUCGUCAUUAUAUCACAAGGUUUUUGCCCAUCGAAGAUCUGUAAAAGCGAAAGUAAAAGACAACGUCUUUUGUUUUUAUUUUAUACAGAUACCAUUUAUAUAGAAGAAUACAUGUCAAUUGGAUUACAAAAGGUAGAAACUUUUCUUAUUUAAGCGGUUUGUCCAUGAAUCUUUACCUUUACUAUCAUUUUUACCAACUAAAUGUUAUUUUUUUAUGUUUUAUUUUUAAUAGCAUUAUCCAUUUUUGUCCGAGGAAACCAGUGACAUAAUCAAUAGUGGAGGUUAACGUAUUAGUGUGAAGAACGUGUUGACUUAACACAUGUAGGCCUGACCCCUAUCAAUCUUGAAUAAAUUAGAACAUUAUGCAGCUGUGGCCUAUUGCACUAAAAUAUUCAGAUAGAGAGCAGGUCCAUUACUUUUGCCUACUAUUUAGUUUAUUAUAGAAUAUAGAAUGGUGCAGGUUAGAGGGUAAAAACAAAGUGCUGUUAGACAACAGCUGCUAAGGUGAAUUUAUGAUUCAUUAACUAAGGUCCUGCAGGAAUUAAAUUAAUCUUGCAAAGAUAAAUAGCCUUUAUGGAAUCUCUGUGCUGUCUUUACUAAUACAUUAUUUACUUCACACUUAUGUAAAAGAAAAGAUGAUUAAUAAAUCGUAAUACCAGUUUUGUGUGGUGACAUUUCAUGCCGAGGUUUAGCCAUUGAUUACCUCUCUAUGCUUUGUAAUUGUUUCUUCAAGGUACUGUGAUCCCGUGCGCACGUGAAGUUCCACGUAUGGAUUUCUUUCCAAUUAAGCUUGGAAUUAUUCACCGGGGGCGCAGCCUUGACGGCCUGCAAACAAUGACAUAACAUUGGAAAAACAUUUUUGAAAGCGGUCGAUGAGAAACAACCAAAUGAUGUUGGCUGAAUGAUAAACAGCUCUUCUCCCUGGACCCACAGCGGCGGGCUCUUCAGACGUCCGACGGCGAGGAGAGUGACAAACACACAUCCCCACCCGCGUGCACAGACACACACACACACGCGUCCAACGGGCCUGAUCUCGUAGUCUCGGAGCGUUCCGCGAGGAUACUACACCACCUGGAGACGGAGAAAUGGGCCGGUGGCGGGUCGAGACCUAUGGGGAACACUGUUCCAAAGGAAUGGCUUUAUGGAAAUGAGGGUUAAAGGGAGCGUCGUCCGCCAUCUGAUAGGGAGUCUAUGAAGCGCUGACACA